rnacentral:rRNA from 1 species
CUACGACCAUAUCACGUUGAAAACACCGGUUCUCGUCCGAUCACCGAAGUUUAGCAACGUCGAGCUCGGUUAGUACUUGGAUGGGUGACCGCCUGGGAAUACCGGGUGUUGUAG